GCUGUUUUGGCUUUCAAGUGGAGCGCAGCCACAGGGCCCGCUCAAGGAUAUCUUCCAACUACUUUCAGAAAAACUGACUUUCAGCAGCGUUCCUGUACAAGACAGGAGUCGAUGGUACAUCGGAUUUGCCAGACUUGUGGAGCACCGAAGGACGCGGAGCGCCUACUGUUUCAGUUUUAUCGUGCUCAAUACCAGUCACCACCCUGUAGCAAGGAGCCACGCGCAAACUGCGUAUGAAAAUGUGAGAAACAUGUAAAAGAUAAUAAGCGCAGCUUGGGAAACCGGAUGGUAUAAACCCACAUUUCAUGCACAUAUAGGGUGCAGACAUUGCAGUGCUGAGAGGAAGGUACGUUCCGUCCGAUGGGAUCUCGUUCUUGGCCGACAUCGUGAACCAAGAAGCAGUGCUCCUGUUGGGCAGACGAGAGAAAAUGGAGCAUAGAAGCCUCAUGUCAUUCGUUUUUUCGUACGACUGGAAGGUACGUUUUUUCUUCGGCUCUCACACGUUAGAAGCUCUAAUGCCACGCGCGCAUGGAAGAUCACUUGGAAAUUGAACCGUGUGUGUUUAUGUACAGAGAAACGCCGAAUAAUUUGCGCAGGAAUGGAUAAA